ACUCAAAUGAAUUGACGGGGGCCCGCACAAGCAGCGGAGCGUGUGGUUUAAUUCGAUGCAACGCGAAGAACCUUACCAGGGCUUGACAUGUGCCGAGAUCUCCCGGAAACGGGAGGUGCCCGCAAGGGCAUCGGCGCACAGGUGCUGCAUGGCUGUCGUCAGCUCGUGCCGUGAGGUGUUGGGUUAAGUCCCGCAACGAGCGCAACCCCCGCGGCUAGUUAGAUACUCUAGCCGGACUGCCGGGACUAACCCGGAGGAAGGUGGGGAUGAUGUCAAGUCAGCACGGCCCUGACGCCCUGGGCUACACACACGCUACAAUGGACGGGACAACGGGCCCAGCCAAGCCGCAAGGCGGAGCGAAUCCCAUCAAACCCGUCCUCAGUUCAGAUCGGGGGCUGCAACUCGCCCCCGUGAAGGCGGAGUUGCUAGUAACCGCGGGUCAGCACACCGCGGUGAAUACGUUCCCGGGCCUUGUACACACCGCCCGU
rnacentral:rRNA from 1 species